rnacentral:rRNA from 1 species
AUUGAACGCUGGCGGGAGGCCUAACACAUGCAAGUCGAGCGGAUGAAGGGAGCUUGCUCCUGGAUUCAGCGGCGGACGGGUGAGUAAUGCCUAGGAAUCUGCCUGGUAGUGGGGGAUAACGUCCGGAAACGGGCGCUAAUACCGCAUACGUCCUGAGGGAGAAAGUGGGGGAUCUUCGGACCUCACGCUAUCAGAUGAGCCUAGGUCGGAUUAGCUAGUUGGUGGGGUAAAGGCCUACCAAGGCGACGAUCCGUAACUGGUCUGAGAGGAUGAUCAGUCACACUGGAACUGAGACACGGUCCAGACUCCUACGGGAGGCAGCAGUGGGGAAUAUUGGACAAUGGGCGAAAGCCUGAUCCAGCCAUGCCGCGUGUGUGAAGAAGGUCUUCGGAUUGUAAAGCACUUUAAGUUGGGAGGAAGGGCAGUAAGUUAAUACCUUGCUGUUUUGACGUUACCAACAGAAUAAGCACCGGCUAACUUCGUG